rnacentral:rRNA from 1 species
GAUGAACGCUGGCGGCGUGCCUAACACAUGCAAGUCGAACGGGGUCCAGCCUUUAAGACCUUCGGGUCAAAGAGGGGAAGACUGAGUGGCGGACGGGUGAGUAACACGUGGGAAACCUGGCUCAUAGCGGGGGAUAACCGAGAGAAAUGUCUGCUAAUACCGCAUAAGCACACACUGCCGCAUGGCAGUGGGGGAAAAGAGAAUCGCUAUGAGAUGGACCCGCGUCUGAUUAGCCAGUUGGCAGGGUAAGAGCCUACCAAAGCGACGAUCAGUAGCCGAUCUGAGAGGAUGAACGGCCACAGUGGGACUGAGACACGGCCCAAACUCCGACGGGAGGCAGCAGUGGGGGAUAUUGCACAAUGGGGGGAACCCUGAUGCAGCGACGCCGCGUGAGUGAAGAAUUAUUUCGGUAUGUAAAGCUCUAUCAGCAGGGAAGAUAUUGACAGUACCUAAAUAAGAAGCCCCGGCUAACUACGUG